CCUACGGGAGGCAGCAGUGAGGAAUAUUGGUCAAUGGGCGUAAGCCUGAACCAGCAAAGUCGCGUGAGGGAUGAAGGUUCUCUGGAUCGUAACCCUCUUUUAGAAGGGAGUGAAGUAUGGGGCGUGUCCUAUUUUGUAUGUACCUUAUGAAUAAGGAUCGGCUAACUCCGUGCCCGCAGCCGCGGUAAUACGGAGGAUCCGAGCGUUAUCCGGAUUUAUUGGGUUUAAAGGGUGCGUAGGGGGCCUUUUAAGUCAGCGGUGAAAGUCUGUGGCUCAACCAUAGAAUUGCCGUUGAAACUGGGGGGCUUGAGUAUGUUUGAGGCAGGCGGAAUGCGUGGUGUAGCGGUGAAAUGCUUAGAUAGCACGCAGAACCCCGAUUGCGAAGGCAGCCGGCCAAGCCAUGACUGACGCUGAUGCACGAAAGCGUGGGGAGCAAACAGGAUUAGAUACCCUGGUAGUC
rnacentral:rRNA from 1 species